rnacentral:rRNA from 1 species
AAACGUAGGUGGCGAGCGUUGUCCGGAAUCACUGGGUGUAAAGGGCGUGUAGGCGGGGGUGCAAGUCAGGUGUGAAAGACCACGGCUCAACCGUGGGGUUGCACUUGAAACUGUAUCUCUUGAGUAUUGGAGAGGGAAGCGGAAUUCCUAGUGUAGCGGUGAAAUGCGUAGAGAUUAGGAGGAACACCAGUGGCGAAGGCGGCUUCCUGGCCAAAUACUGACGCUGAGGCGCGAAAGCGUGGGGAGCAAACAGGAUUAGAUACCCUGGUAGUCCAAGCCGUAAACGAUGGAUACUAGGUGUAGGUGGUAGUAAACCAUCUGUGCCGGAGUUAACACAAUAAGUAUCCCACCUGGGGAGUACGGCCGCAAGGUUGAA